rnacentral:rRNA from 1 species
UACGUAGGGUGCGAGCGUUGUCCGGAAUUAUUGGGCGUAAAGGGCUCGUAGGGGGUCUGUUGCGUCGGGAGUGAAAACUCAGGGCUUAACCCUGAGCCUGCUUCCGAUACGGGCAGACUAGAGGUAUGCAGGGGAGAACGGAAUUCCUGGUGUAGCGGUGAAAUGCGCAGAUAUCAGGAGGAACACCGGUGGCGAAGGCGGUUCUCUGGGCAUUACCUGACGCUGAGGAGCGAAAGUGUGGGGAGCGAACAGG